CAGGGCCGCCGCAGGAGGCGCAGGUGCUGGGUUCUGAGCGACAGUCCGCUCGCGGAGUCGCUCAAGGCAAGAAGACCCAGAGCCAGCAAGACUGAAACAAAAAGCAAAGGAGAGAUUCUAUCCACAUGUCAAGCCUCCCGGAAACCUAUUCAUGUCCGCAAAUGGGUGUUUUUAAACUUGGGAACCUGCCUUGAAGCCUGACUAAAUUGUCUCGGUUGGAGCUCAGGACGACUGGCCCAUGUCUUGCUCUGUGAAAUUACACAUGUCAUUUCUCACUUGUCCGUUCAAGAAACACUAUGGAGGACCUUCUGUCUGCUUGAGCUUCUGAAAUUAUGGAGCUGACACUUCAGAUUAGAAAAUAACAAAGAAGGAAGCCACCAGAUGGAAGCAUGGAAGGCUUUGCAGAAGAACUGAUGUUUGAUAUGGGUUCUGACAGAUGAAAAGGAGCUCCCUGGGUGGUGUCAGUUCAUCUUCUAUAACAUAAGGUGGUUAGACUAGGUCUACAUGGAGGACCCAUUUAAUCCUAAUUGAUUCUGUGGUUAUAACCUGCCCGUAAUCAACUUUUUCUUCUCUGUGUGUCCCUCCAGGGAGUUGAGAGACCACCAUGGACUUCCUGUCAUCAUUCUUUAUUUUGUUAGCUGAAGCAAUCCAGAUUGAGCUGUUGGUCUUGAGUCUCCCAGUUGUGUUUGGAGGCCAAAGCAUUAUCACGUUAACCAGUCUGUAACCUUCUUAGGGAAUGGUCUCUUGGGCUCAUAGAUUUAUUUCCAUCCAUCUAGUUCCCAAGGCAUUUCAUUUAGUAACUGUAGCUAUACCAAGGCGCAGCCUUCGUAAUAAAGCCCAUUUGCUCAUCAAAACGUGGGUGCCCGUAGUCGACACCCUCAGCCUUCCCAACUGCUUUUAUCUUCCCUCUCUUCCUGUGGGACAUGCAGUUCAAUAUACAGCAUGCAUCCUGGCCUUCGGGUUAAUUGUUCAUCCUGAUACUCUGCCAAAACAGGUCGAACUUUGUGCUUUGAUGGCCUUUUCACCCAUGUGACAUGAACCAUCUGUUGGGGCAAAGCUUAAAACAGCAAUUGUCAUUUGACAAGUAGUUGGCAGUA